rnacentral:rRNA from 1 species
UACGUAGGUGGCAAGCGUUGUUCGGAAUUACUGGGCGUAAAGCGCGUGUAGGCGGCUCUUCAAGUCAGACGUGAAAGCCCCGGGCUUAACUCGGGAACUGCGUUUGAUACUGUCGAGCUAGAGUGUGGAAGGGGCGAUUGGAAUUCCGUGUGUAGCGGUGAAAUGCGUAGAUAUACGGAGGAACACCAGAGGCGAAGGCGGAUCGCUGGGCCAACACUGACGCUGAGGCACGAAAGCGUGGGGAGCAAACAGG